AUUGAACGCUGGCGGCAGGCUUAACACAUGCAAGUCGAACGAUGAAACUCUAGCUUGCUAGAGAUGAUUAGUGGCGGACGGGUGAGUAACAUUUAGGAAUCUGCCUAGUAGUGGGGGAUAGCUCGGGGAAACUCGAAUUAAUACCGCAUACGACCUACGGGUGAAAGGGGGCGCAAGCUCUUGCUAUUAGAUGAGCCUAAAUCAGAUUAGCUAGUUGGUGGGGUAAAGGCCCACCAAGGCGACGAUCUGUAACUGGUCUGAGAGGAUGAUCAGUCACACCGGAACUGAGACACGGUCCGGACUCCUACGGGAGGCAGCAGUGGGGAAUAUUGGACAAUGGGGGCAACCCUGAUCCAGCCAUGCCGCGUGUGUGAAGAAGGCCUUUUGGUUGUAAAGCACUUUAAGCAGGGAGGAGAGGCUAAUGGUUAAUACCCAUUAGAUGGGACGUACCUGCAGAAUAGC
rnacentral:rRNA from 1 species